UUUGUUAAGUCUGGUGUGAAAGCCCAGAGCUCAACUCUGGAACUGCAUCAGAAACUGACAAACUUGAGUGUGGGAGAGGAGAGUGGAAUUCCCAGUGUAGAGGUGAAAUUCGUAGAUAUUGGGAGGAACACCGGUGGCGAAGGCGGCUCUCUGGACCACAACUGACACUGAGGCGCGAAAGCUAGGGGAGCGAACGGGAUUAGAUACCCCGGUAGUCCUAGCCGUAAACGAUGGGCACUAGGUGUGGGGGGUAUUGACCCCUUCCGUGCCGCAGCUAACGCAUUAAGUGCCCCGCCUGGGGAGUACGGUCGCAAGACUAAAACUCAAAGGAAUUGACGGGGGCCCGCACAAGCGGUGGAGCAUGUGGUUUAAUUCGACGUAACGCGAAGAACCUUACCUGAGUUUGACAUCCCUUGACAACCACAGAGAUGUGGCUUUCCUUCGGGCCAAGGAGACAGGUGCUGCAUGGCUGUCGUCAGCUCGUGUCGUGAGAUGUUGGGUUAAGUCCCGCAACGAGCGCAACCCAUGCCCUUAGUUGCCAGCGAGUAAUGUCGGGAACCCUAAGGGAACUGCCGGUGACAAACCGGAGGAAGGUGUGGAUGACGUCAAGUCCUCAUGGCCCUUAUGCCCAGGGCUACACACGUGCUACAAUGGCCGAUACAGAGGGUCGCAAUACCGUGAGGUGGAGCCAAUCCCAAAAAGUCGGUCUCAGUUCAGAUUGCAGGCUGCAACCCGCCUGCAUGAAGGUGGAAUCGCUAGUAAUCCCGGAUCAGCAUGCCGGGGUGAAUACGUUCCCGGGCCUUGUACACACCGCCCGUCACACCACGAAAGCCAGUUGUACCAGAAGUCGCCGGGCCAACCCGCAAGGGAGGCAGGCGCCGAAGGUAUGGCCGGUGAUUGGGGUGAAGUCGUAACAAGGUAACC
rnacentral:rRNA from 1 species